rnacentral:rRNA from 1 species
ACGGAGGAUGCAAGCGUUAUCCGGGUUUAUUGGGUUUAAAGGGUGCGCAGGCUGAACGGUAAGUCAAUGGUGAAACCCUCCUGCUUAACAGGAGAACUGCAAAUGAUACUGCCGGACUAGAGUGUAAGAGAUGUAACUGGAAUGUGAUGUGUAGCGGUGAAAUGCUUAGAUAUAUCGCAGAACGCCAAUCGUGAAGACAGGUUACAAGCUUACAACUGACGCUGAAGCACGAAAGCGUGGGGAUCAAACAG